GCUCCAUUUCCUCCCUCUCUCUCUCUCACAUGGUUUCUGUCUGAGGAGGUUUAGUUUCCUCAGGCUCUGGAUGGGAGAGGGAUGAUGCCAGAAAGCUGCAGGCAGACACACAUGUUCAAAACUUAAGAGGAGCUUUGGGCAGUUUCCUUCUGCACUAAUAGAUUCAAAAGAAUAUAUGAAAUAAUCUACAAAUCAGGCUGCAGAGGUGUCUCUUUUUUGUUGGCCAGACGGAAUAACACUCAAUGUGGCAGAAUCCUCAGGUGUCCGCUUGUUGUUCACCAGUUUUCAAACAUGUGGAAGUAAGACUUUUCGGGACUUUUGGGCGUUCUUCUUUCUUUGGAAAACUGGAAAACCUUUCACGAAUAAGUUUGCUGGCACCUCAAAGGUACAUUGCUGGCUGCCUUUGUUGUUCCUGGACACUUGCUUUGUGGAAAACAAGGUGAAGGGGACUGCAAUAUCACCACCAUCACUUUGAGCAUCAGAACCACAAGUUGUUUAAAAAGGAUUCUUGAGAGAGGAAUCAUGAAAGACAACUAUGGUGGAUACGAGAACCAGCUUUUCAAAGAGGAGGAUUUCACUGGAGAAGAGGAAAUGCCUUCAUUUAGAGGUGAAGGCCAC